AGAGUUUGAUCCUGGCUCAGGAUGAACGCUAGCGACAGGCCUAACACAUGCAAGUCGAGGGGCAGCGGAGAGGUAGCAAUACCUCUGUCGGCGACCGGCGCACGGGUGAGUAACACGUAUGCAAUCCACCUGUAACAGGGGGAUAACCCGGAGAAAUCCGGACUAAUACCCCAUAAUAUGGGCGCUCCGCAUGGAGGGCUCAUUAAAGAAAGCAAUUUUGGUUACAGACGAGCAUGCGCUCCAUUAGCCAGUUGGCGGGGUAACGGCCCACCAAACCAACGAUGGAUAGGGGUUCUGAGAGGAAGGUCCCCCACAUUGGAACUGAGACACGGUCCAAACUCCUACGGGAGGCAGCAGUGAGGAAUAUUGGUCAAUGGUCGGCAGACUGAACCAGCCAAGUCGCGUGAGGGAAGACGGCCCUACGGGUUGUAAACCUCUUUUGUCGGAGAGUAAAGUACGCUACGUGUAGCGUAUUGCAAGUAUCCGAAGAAAAAGCAUCGGCUAACUCCGUGCCAGCAGCCGCGGUAAUACGGAGGAUGCAAGCGUUAUCCGGAUUUAUUGGGUUUAAAGGGUGCGUAGGCGGCACGCCAAGUCAGCGGUGAAAUUUCCGGGCUCAACCCGGAGUGUGCCGUUGAAACUGGCGAGCUAGAGUACACAAGAGGCAGGCGGAAUGCGUGGUGUAGCGGUGAAAUGCAUAGAUAUCACGCAGAACCCCGAUUGCGAAGGCAGCCUGCUAGGGUGAAACAGACGCUGAGGCACGAAAGCGUGGGUAUCGAACAGGAUUAGAUACCCUGGUAGUCCACGCAGUAAACGAUGAAUACUAACUGUUUGCGAUACAAUGUAAGCGGUACAGCGAAAGCGUUAAGUAUUCCACCUGGGGAGUACGCCGGCAACGGUGAAACUCAAAGGAAUUGACGGGGGCCC
rnacentral:rRNA from 1 species